GUCCACGCCCUAAAACGAUGAACACUCGCUGUUGGCGAUACACAGUCAGCGGCUAAGCGAAAGCGUUAAGUGUUCCACCUGGGGGAGUACGCCCGCAAGGGUGAAACUCAAAGGAAUUGACGGGGGCCCGCACAAGCGGAGGAGCAUGUGGUUUAAUUUCGAUGAUACGCGAGGAACCUUACCCGGGCUUGAAGUUAGUGAAUGAUUUAGAGAUAGAUCAGUGAGCAAUCACACGAAACUAGGUGCUGCAUGGCUGUCGU
rnacentral:rRNA from 1 species